AAAAGGCCCAGCUUCCAUAUUGGCCCAUAGGUCCAGCUCGAGUUUUUAUUCUUUCUUUUUCUCUUUUGAAACCCGGACGAAAUCAGUGUUUCUAUCUUUACUUAGCUUUACUCAGAUAAUACGAAAAUACCAAAUUUUCAUAUUAUCCAAUAAUUCUAAGUAAAGAGGGGCUGCUGUCAACACCCAAUUUCGUCCGGGUGACUAAAUAAUAGGAAUUGUUUUUAUUUUUUGUCUUAUUUUAUUUUUUAUUUUUUAUUUUCUUUUUUAUUUUAUUUUGUUUUAUUAUUUUUAGUUUACUUUGAUUUAGUUUAGUUUUUUAUCUGAUUGGAGUUGAUUUUUAUAUUCUUUUUGAAAAAAAAUAAUAAUAAAAAAGUAAAAAAGAAAAGAAAAAAGGCACGUGAGUAAUCUUCUUUGAAAAAAAAAUCGUUCCUCCAUCAACAUACCGGGGGGCACUCACUACAGGAUCAACAAAAUCCAUCACGCACUAGAGGCAAUUCCCCUGACCACUACCUGGGGACACACCCGUAACGACCCAAGGAGAUUUUCGGUUUUUGAUUCCCAAUUCACCUCACACACUCCUUCAAGCUACAUAACACACACCACGCCUGGUUGCGCGAGGGGAUCAUCCAAUACACUGCACCUAUUAUCCGCAGCAAGAAAGCCAUCAUCUCCUCCAUCACAGAGACACAAAAGAGAAGAAACAAAAGAAGAAGAAAAACGGUCAAAAGGAUUUUUCCAGGGGGGUACGAAGGAGAAGGAUUUUUUUCAUUGGAUGGACAAGGCAGGGAAAAUUACGGAGGAGGGAGAAGUUUUUGGGCUGCAGGCAGAGAUCAUCGGGGUUAGGCAGAGAGGAUAUAGGAAGUGAGGAAUAUCAAAGGAAUUCUCAAGUAUACAACUUACCCUUUAUUCUCAUAAUGCAUAAAAUAUAGAAUUCUAGUGUUUGAUAGUGCAUAUGAUAAUCGCUGGUAAUCUGUUCGAGAACGUUAUGGUGUGAUCAUCUUCCUCGUUUUUGUUUGCUAUCAUCAUCGGUCAUUAGGACCGAUCCAUGUCAUCCUGACUCCACAUUCACCAUAUACAUCUAUCCUGUUUCCCUGGAAUCUCAGUAAAAAUGCCGCAAAACAAUCACCCAAGCAUCUCUACACUCUAUUCGUGAUUACAUUAUACACUCCUUCUCAAAUGAACCAAAACCCACCAACAACCAUUCCCCAUUAACCUGAAACACAACAAAAUUCAAAAGACCAAAAACCCAAAAAUCAUCACAACAAAUAAAUCAACAAAAACAAGAGAGACCAAUCAAAUCCAUUCUCAAUUCCUUUUGAACCCAACCCCAGAAUGCCUUCUAACAACAUUCACAAGUUGAAGCACAUUCGAGACCCCUGCGGGUCUUUGUCUCUAAUCUCCACUCCAGUUAGUGGUGAUGGUGAUGACACUUAGUGAUAACGGCCUUGGGCUUGGAGGGGAGAGUAUCUCUGAGUCGAGCACGACCCACGAUGGAGCAAGGGGCGCGACGACAGAGGAGGAUGAAUCACGAAGCAAGGAAGGUUAGGGGUUUCGUCGGAGGUGUGGCCGGAGUUGAUUUGGACGACGUAAGCGACGCCGUGCGCAAGCAAUCGGCGGCAUGGUGGCAGUCAGCACCGUCACUGGGACUUCAGGUCGCGACUCACAACGGCCGGAGACGGUAGUUAUCAUGUGGAGGCGAAGGUGUGGACAGAGUCGGAUGGUUGUUGCGGUGGCUGGCUGGAGGGAAUCGGCGGCUGGGACGGUGGCUUCAGAGAUUGCUAGCCAAGAACGAGAAGGAAGCUUUAGGUGUGGCGUAGGGAUGGUCGACGACAAGGCAGUGAACGAUGACGUUGAUGAUACUUCAAGCAUUUUCCUUGCGGUGGCCGAAUUGGUGAUCGUUGGACUGAGAGUCGCCUGGUAUUCGAGCUGGAGAUGAGGAUCCAGGGGGUUUGGGUCGAAUGGGAACCCUUCUAAGGGGUUUGGGGGCUGAGGAAACCCUAAUGGGUUCUGACUAAAGAGGAAUUGGGCCUAUUUUGGGCCGAAAAAAUGUUUCCCUUGCACAACCUUUGUUUUCCUUUGCACCACCCCAUUUCCUUUUGGGCUUAGACCUGGUCCGG
rnacentral:lncRNA from 1 species